rnacentral:rRNA from 1 species
UAAGGCAAGUUAGUAAAUCUCCUAUUUAAUAAACUGAUGAAAAUUAAGGAAGGGUUGUGAAAAAAGAUUAAAAAAAUCAUUAGUCUGCCCACUAGAAAGGUUAAAAAGAACAGGGUUAGUAGCCUGCUAUGGGCCAAGUAAAUUAAAUAAGGUAGUAAUAGUUCCCCCUAGAAACUUAAAUAACAUGGCAGUAUUUUACCCCCUGCAGAGGAGCUUGAAUAUUAAUUAGAUAGUCCUCUUUAAUUCUUACCUAAUUUUAUUUUAUGUGUGGUUGUCGAAAUAAAUAUUAUAGUAUAAAUUUUAGUCAGAUGACAUGUAGAUAUAGUUAGGGUAAUUUUAGCUACAAUUACCAUAUUGAGUAAAUACGUCGUAUAAAAAUACAGAAUUUGCAAGUAAUAAAUUGUUUAAGACUAUUUAUGAAGUGGUUAUAAAAUGUGUACAUAUUGUCCGUCACUCUCAGAGAUGAGAUAAGUCGUAGCAAAGUAGAGGUUUUAGAAAAAGCCCCUAAAUUAU